AACGCACCUUGCGCUCCUUGGUAUUCCGAGGAGCAUGCCUGUUUGAGUGUCAUGUAAUCAUCAACUUCUACUUCCUUUUUUGGAAGUGUUAGUUGGAUUUGGAGGCUUUGUUGGCUUUCGCGAGUCGACUCCUCUUGAAUGCAUUAGUCGGUACUUCAUGGUCGCAGUACGCGGUGUGAUAAUUUAUUCACCCAUCGUUCUUGCGUUCCAGCUGGCUUAUAACACGCUUUAAUGCACCUUUGACAAUCUGGCCUCAAAUCAGGUAGGACUACCCGCUGAACUUAA
rnacentral:misc_RNA from 1 species